UGGGCUAUCGCCAAACGGUAAGGCACAGGAUUUUGAUUCCUGUAUUUCCGGGUUCAAAUCCCGGUAGCCUAA
rnacentral:tRNA from 1 species